CUUUUAGAUCAGAGACUUCCUAUUUAGACUAGGGUAAUUUGGAGUACAAAUUAAGCCAUGUUGACUUUUAUUUGAAUAAUGCUGUUGCAACGAAAUGGAAAUGAUACAUUAUUUGUUUUUUUUGUUCUUGUAUCACAAAUCAUAUUGUCGGCGCAAUAUUGAUCCCUAAUAUUGCAAGUUUUCCUCAUAUGGUGCUCUUCUACUACCUAGUGUACUGGUGUUUGCACUAAGUCUUUGUGAAACCUUUUUUUCUUUAACUGUUGUAAAAAGUAAGCACUUUUUUGACAAAGUGAUGUGUUUUCACACUUUUAACAAUAUUUCUGAACUCUUGUUUUGAGCAAUCUCCAAGCCACCUACACAAGCCCACACUGGGCUGCCCUGAAGACUGAAGGAGAGAACCCAGAGCUGAAUGGAAUAUAUAACUUUCAGUCAGGCGAGUUAGUCCUCUUAUGUGUAAUUCUAAUUGAAAUAUUUAUUUACCCUUCAAUUUGGUAGUAGGAAAAAAAUAAAAACAGGUUUUAGUUAAUUAAACAUACAGGGUUUUUUCUGUCCCUUUAUAUUAAACGCAUAAAUGUUUCUAAUGAACCAAACUGCAUUAAUUGAUUGAGAGUAUUUUUAGAUCUUAGCUGCAUUAUUUGUAUUAACAAAGAGGGAGAUUAUUCUGUUCAUCCAGCAGCAUAAUAGUUCAUUUUACAUAACCUGAUUUAGAAAAAAUAAAUAAUAAUAAUAAGAGGAAAAUAGGUACACAUCGCUUCCUUCCUCUAAUGUCUGUGUUCAAAGUAAAUUAGGUUGUUUUGACUGGAGCCUUCUUUAAAUUUAAAGUCAACAUAUUUAACAGCGACAGAAAGUUAGCAAACACUAGUUUAUAAAAAAAACAUGCACACACACACAUUUGAAGUUUUCUGCUGUUCAUUUUAACCUACUAUAGCUUAUUAAGUGCUAAACUGCAGCAACAUCGGGAAAUAACCUAGUUACCAAAAACCUGAUGAAAACCAUUUAUUUUAAUUUGGUUCAAAUCCACCUCUAUUAGAACUCUAGUAAAUUAAAAAACACAUUUGGACACACAUUUUCUGAUUAAAACUAGUUAAAUACUGUUCAUAAUAAAUUGGAACCAAAAGCAGGUUAGCAUCAGAACUUUCUAAAAGUCCAACAAGUUUUUUUUUCUUUUAAAAUACUGGAAUUGAAUUAGCCAAAAAAAAAUAUUCCUGUUCAAUCCAACCUAAAGGUAACAAAUCCAAAACCAAAACCACUACAUUACACAAGAAAAAAAAGAAAGUUUUAAUUUUCUCUAUUUAGAAACAUAGUUUUUUUUUCUUUUUUUUUAAUUUAAGGAUAUAGACUAGUAACAAAAAAUACUAAGUCUCAGUCCAGGAGGUUAUUCUGAGUGGUGCUUUUCCGUGUUGUGAUCCAAAUCCUGAGUGUUAUCCUUCAAAUAAAUAAUUUCAGUUCAGGUGAUCACAUAGUUGAGUAGAAAGCUGUUUAUUCAAGACCUCUUAAAAUGAUUAAACAACAGCCAGAACAAACAAAGUGUCAUGAGUAAUGAUCUUUGUAACAACAUUCCUAAAAGUCUAAGACACACAGGCUGUCAACAACAACAACAAACUGAUGGGAUCUGAUACAAAAAUGUCAAUGAAAGAAAAACCUCCAAACAUGGGUUUUAUAGUUUAACACAGAGAAGUUAAUCUAUUAGAAAUAUUAGCUUUGAGAUUAUCCAGAAUAGAAACACCCAUAAUCUAUUUGGUUGCAGGGUUCCGUUUCUAUCAUUACUGCUGUAUUUGACAUUAAUAUUUUCGCUUAGAUUAAAAAAAAGAAAAAA